rnacentral:lncRNA from 1 species
AGACUACUCAGUUGCGCCCUAACAGUAUAACUCUGCAACGAGUACUUUCUCUCAUUCAAUCCAAAAAAGUGUGAAAGCUAAUUAUCUUCUUCUAUUAUGCCCCAAGAGCGUAAAUAUCGAACGAAUCAUUGUCAACGUUCACUAGAACCAAAACCGGAACAACAUUAGACUACUCAGUUGCGCCCUAACAGUAUAACUUUGCAACGAGUGCUUUUUCGCAUUCUAUCGAACAAAGAGUAAAACCUAAUUAUAUUGUUCUAUUAUGCCCCGAGAGUGUAAAUUUGGAACGAAUCGAGUCAACCUUCAGAAGAAGCAAACCGAAACAAUAAUAGACUGCUCAGUUGUGCCCUCACAGUAUACCUUUGGAACGAGUACUUUUUCUCAUUCAAUCGAACAAAGUGUAAAAGCUAAUUAUAUUAUUCUAUCAUUCCCCGAGAGUGUAAAUUUGGAACGAAUCGAUGUCAACCUUCACAAGAACCAAAAUCGAAACAACAAUAAACUACUUAGUUGCGCCCUAACAGUAUAACUUUGCAACGAGUACUUUUCUACAUUCUAUCGAACAAAGAGUAAAAACCAAAUAAUAUUAUUCUAUUAGUCCCCGAGAGUGUAAAUUUGGAACGAAUCGAUGUCAACCUUCGCAAGAACGAAAACCGAAACAACAAUAGACUACUCAGUUGCGCCCUAACAGUAUAACUUUGCAACGAGUACUUUUUCGCAUUCUAUCGAACAAAUAGUAAAACCUAAUUAUAUUGUUCUAUUAUGCCCCGAGAGUAUAAAUUUGGAACGAAUCGAUAUCAACCUUCAUCAGAAGCAAAACCGAAACAACAAUAGACUGCUCAGUUGCGCCCUAACAGUAUCACUUUACAACGAGUACUUUUUCUUAUUCAAUCGAACAAAGUGUAAAUGCUAAUUAUAUUAUUCUAUUAUGCCCCGAGAGUGUAAAUUUGGAACGAAUCGAUGUCAACCUUCACAAGAAGCAAAACCGGAACAAUAAUAGACUUCUCAGUUGCGCCAUAACAGUAUAACUUUAGAACGAGUACUUUUUCUCAUUCAAUCGAACAAACUGUAAAAGCCAAUUAUAUUAUUCUAUCAAUCCCCGAGAGUGUAAAUUUGGAACGAAUCGAUGUCAACCUCCACAAAAACCAAAGCCGAAACAACAAUAGACUACUCAGUAGCGCCCUAACAAUAUAACUUUGCAACGAGUACUUUUUCGCAUUCUAUUGAACAAAGAGCAAAACCUAAUAAUAUUAUUCUAUUAUGCCCCGAGAGUGUAAAUUUGGAAUGAAUCGAUGUCAACCUUCACAAGAACCAAAACCGGAACAACAAUAGACUACUCAGUUGCGCCCUAACAGUAUAACUUUGCAACAAGUAAUAUUUCUUUUUCAAUCGAACAAAGUGUAAAAGCUAAUUACAUUAUUCUAUUAUGCCCUGAGAGUGUAAGUUUGGAACGAAUCGAUGUCAACCUUCACAAGAACCAAAUUCGUAACAACAAUAGACUACUUUGUUGCGCCCUAACAAUAUAAAUUUGCAACGAGUGCUUUUUCUCGUUCUAUCGAACAAAGAUUAAAACCUAAUUAUGUUGUUCUAUUUUGCCCCGAGAGAAUAAAUUUUGAACGCAACGAUGUCAACAUUCACAAGAACGAAAACCAGAACAAC